AGAGUUUGAUCCUGGCUCAGAACGAACGUUGGCGGCGUGGAUUAGGCAUGCAAGUCGAACGAAUCCCGGAGGGGUAACUCUCUGGGGGAAGUGGCGAAAGGGGCAGUAAAGCGUGGGUAACCUACCCUAGGGACUGGGAUAGCCGUCCUAACGGACGGGUAAUACCGGGCGACGUGUCGAGAAGGCAUCUUUUGGACACCAAAUGAAUUUCGCCCUAGGCGGGGCUCACGUAGUAUUAGCUUGUUGGUGAGGUAACGGCUCACCAAGGCCAAGAUGCUUAGCGGGUGUGAGAGCACGACCCGCGCCACUGGCACUGUGACACUGGCCAGACUCCUACGGGAGGCUGCAGUCGAGGAUCUUCGGCAAUGGGCGCAAGCCUGACCGAGCGACGCCGCGUGUGCGAUGAAGGCCUUCGGGUUGUAAAGCACUGUCGAGGGGGAGGAAAGCUCGCAAGAGUUUGACCUAUCCCUGGAGGAAGCACGGGCUAAGUUCGUGCCAGCAGCCGCGGUAAGACGAACCGUGCGAACGUUGUUCGGAUUCACUGGGCUUAAAGGGCGCGUAGGCGGGCGGGCAAGUCUGGGGUGAAAUCUUUCAGCUUAACUGGAAAAGUGCCUCGGAUACUGCUUGUCUCGAGUGGGGUAGGGGCAUGUGGAACUUCCGGUGGAGCGGUGAAAUGCGUAGAUAUCGGAAGGAACGCCGGUGGCGAAAGCGACGUGCUGGACCCUUUCUGACGCUGAGGCGCGAAAGCCAGGGGAGCAAACGGGAUUAGAUACCCCGGUAGUCC
rnacentral:rRNA from 1 species